GACGAACGCUGGCGGCGUGCUUAACACAUGCAAGUCGAACGGAAAGGCCCUGCUUUUGUGGGGUGCUCGAGUGGCGAACGGGUGAGUAACACGUGAGUAACCUGCCCUUGACUUUGGGAUAACUUCAGGAAACUGGGGCUAAUACCGGAUAGGAGCUCCUGCUGCAUGGUGGGGGUUGGAAAGUUUCGGCGGUUGGGGCUGGACUCGCGGCUUAUCAGCUUGUUGGUGGGGUAGUGGCUUACCAAGGCUUUGGCGGGUAGCCGGCCUGAGAGGGUGACCGGCCACAUUGGGACUGAGAUGCGGACCAGACUCCUACGGGAGGCAGCAGUGGGGAAUAUUGCACAAUGAGCGGGAGCCUGAUGCAGCGACGCCGCGUGCGGGAUGACGGCCUUCGGGUUGUGAACCGCUUUCGCCUGUGACGAAGCGUGAGUGACGGUAAUGAGUAAAGAAGCACCGGCUAACUACGUG
rnacentral:rRNA from 1 species